AGAAGCUGCAUUUCAGAGGUAUUAGUAACUGUCCCAGAUCACAUAGCUCAUACUGGCAGAGCCAGGAUUCAAACCUGCAUGACCACCCAGCACAACCUCCCUGUAAAGGCCCUGAAAUGUCCAGUAACAGCUGGCUCGAGGACUGCCCACUUAUCAUUCACCCUUUGUCAGGGGUUGGGCAGCACCUGCAGCAGACACCCUGUA
rnacentral:lncRNA from 1 species